UACGGAGGAUCCAAGCGUUAUCCGGAAUCAUUGGGUUUAAAGGGUCCGUAGGCGGGUCAAUAAGUCAGUGGUGAAAGUCUGCAGCUCAACUGUAGAAUUGCCAUUGAUACUGUUGACCUUGAGUAAUUAUGAAGUGGUUAGAAUAUGUAGUGUAGCGGUGAAAUGCAUAGAUACCGUAAAGAACACCGAUAGCGAAGGCAGCUUGCCAAACUAUAACUGACGCUGAAGCACGAAAGCGUGGGGAGCAAACAGG
rnacentral:misc_RNA from 1 species